rnacentral:rRNA from 1 species
UACGGAGGGAGCUAGCGUUGUUCGGAAUUACUGGGCGUAAAGCGUGCGCAGGCGGUCUGUUAAGACCGAUGUGAAAUCCCCGGGCUUAACCUGGGAACUGCAUUGGUGACUGGCAGGCUUUGAGUGUGGCAGAGGGAGGUAGAAUUCCACGUGUAGCAGUGAAAUGCGUAGAGAUGUGGAGGAACACCGAUGGCGAAGGCAGCCCCCUGGGUCAAGAUUGACGCUCAUGCACGAAAGCGUGGGGAGCAAACAGG